rnacentral:rRNA from 1 species
UGAAUACGAGAUGCUACGGCGUCGAAGCAGUCUAUGUCAUACUUCCAAGAAAAGCUUGCACUGUCAUAAACAAAUAAUGCCUGUACCAUAACCGACACAGGUGGGUAGGUAGAGUAUACUAAGGGGCGCGAGAUAACUCUCUCUAAGGAACUCGGCAAAAUGACUCCGUAACUUCGGGAGAAGGAGUGCCUUAUUUAUAAGGUUGCAAUAACAAGAUCCAAGCAACUGUUUACCAAAAACACAGGUCUCCGCUAAGUCGUAAGACGAUGUAUGGGGGCUGACGCCUGCCCAGUGCCAGAAGGUUAAAGAAGUUGGUUAGCAUCCGCGAAGCUGAUAACUGAAGCCCUGGUGAACGGCGGCCGUAACUAUAACGGUCCUAAGGUAGCGAAAUUCCUUGUCGGGUAAGUUCCGACCCGCACGAAAGGCGUAAUGAUUUGGAUACUGUCUCGGAGAGGGGCUCGGUGAAAUAGACUUGUCUGUGAAGAUGCGGACUACCUGCACCAGGACAGAAAGACCCUAUGAAGCUUUACUGUAACCUGAAAUUGAAAUUGGACUUUACUUGCGCAGUAUAGGUGGGAGGCGUUGAGAAUAUUCUUGCGGGAUUAUUGGAGCCAUCAGUGAGAUACCACUCUUGUAAUGUUAGAUUUCUAACUUUGUAUCAUUAUCUGGUCAAAGAACAGUUUCAGGCGGGCAGUUUGACUGGGGCGGUCGCCUCCUAAACGGUAACGGAGGCGCACAAAGGUUUCCUCUGAACGGGUAGAAAUCGUAUCUAGAGUGUAAAGGCAUAAGGAAGCUUGACUGUGAGACCUACAAGUCGAGCAGGGACGAAAGUCGGUCUUAGUGAUCUGACGGUGCUGAGUGGAAAGGCCGUCACUCAACGGAUAAAAGUUACUCUAGGAUAACAGGCUGAUCUCCCCCAAGAGUUCACAUCUACGGGGAGGUUUGGCACCUCGAUGUCGGCUCAUCGCAUCCUGGGGCGGUAGUACGUCCCAAGGGUUGGGCUGUUCGCCCAUGAAAGCGGUACGCGAGCUGGGUUCAGAACGUCGUGAGACAGUUCGGUCCAUAUCCGGUGUAGGCGUUAGAAUAUUGAGAGGAGCCUUCUUUAGUACGAGAGGACCGAGAAGGACAUACCUCUGGUGUACCAGUUAUCGUGCCAACGGUAAACGCUGGGUAGCUAUGUGUGGAGUGGAUAACCGCUGAAAGCAUCUAAGUGGGAAGCCCACCUUAAGAUAAG